CUACGUGCCAGCAGCCGCGGUAAUACGGAAGGUCCAGGCGUUAUCCGGAUUUAUUGGGUUUAAAGGGAGUGUAGGCGGUUUGUUAGGCGUGUUGUGAAAUUUAGAUGCUCAACAUUUAACUUGCAGCGCGAACUGUCAGACUUGAGUACACGCAACGUAUGCGGAAUUCAUGGUGUAGCGGUGAAAUGCUUAGAUAUCAUGAAGAACUCCGAUUGCGAAGGCAGCAUACGGGAGUGUAACUGACGCUUAAGCUCGAAGGUGCGGGUAUCGAACAGGAUUAGAUACCCUGGUAGUCCGCACAGUAAACGAUGGAUGCCCGCUGUUAGCGCCUGGCGUUAGCGGCUAAGCGAAAGCAUUAAGCAUCCCACCUGGGGAGUACGCCGGCAACGGUGAAACUCAAAGGAAUUGACGGGGGCCCGCACAAGCGGUGGAGCAUGUGGUUUAAUUCGAAGCAACGCGAAGAACCUUACCAGGUCUUGACAUCCCUCUGACCGCUCUAGAGAUAGAGCUUUC
rnacentral:rRNA from 1 species